GUACGCCAAUAUAAUUCACCAAAACCAUACUGCAGUCCUUCAAUUAUCAUACAGGGAAAUUUUCAUCUUUAUAGUCUUUUUCGUCUGGUGCUGGGAAGUUCUUAAACCAUUGUUCAUUUUGAUUUGUCAAGUUUUGUAAGUCCGUCAAGCUGUAUAUUUGUCCUUCUUUUAAGUCAUGUGUAAUGUCGUCUUUUGUAACUUUACGUAGUUCACGCAGGGGGGUAUUCUUUUCGCUUCCAUUUUCAGGGUGAAAUGCCCUGCUCAAAAAGUCCGCAAUACAGAAUGGUUCGUUUUCUAAAGGUUCAUCAGCUCUCGGUAGAUGUUGUCCGAGAUCCUCUAGAGUGGGAGAGGUCAGAUGGGUUGACCUUCUCCUUCCGGUGCUUGUCGUAGAGUGUUGAAGACCUGGGGUUCUUUCCAUCAUCAAGAAUUAGAUAACGAUACGAGUUACGAAGCAUAAUAAUAUUCUUUACAAAAUUAUGAUAUAUUAAACAUCAAUUAUGUACAAAAUAAAACGAGCACUAUUUAA